rnacentral:rRNA from 1 species
AGAGUUUGAUCCUGGCUCAGGACGAACGCUGGCGGCGUGCCUAAUACAUGCAAGUCGAGCGAGUCUGCCUUGAAGAUCGGAGUGCUUGCACUCUGUGAAACAAGAUACAGGCUAGCGGCGGACGGGUGAGUAACACGUGGGUAACCUGCCCAAGAGAUCGGGAUAACACCUGGAAACAGAUGCUAAUACCGGAUAACAACAGAUGAUGCCUAUCAACUGUUUAAAAGAUGGUUCUGCUAUCACUCUUGGAUGGACCUGCGGUGCAUUAGCUAGUUGGUAGGGUGACGGCCUACCAAGGCGAUGAUGCAUAGCCGAGUUGAGAGACUGAUCGGCCACAUUGGGACUGAGACACGGCCCAAACUCCUACGGGAGGCAGCAGUAGGGAAUCUUCCACAAUGGACGCAAGUCUGAUGGAGCAACGCCGCGUGAGUGAAGAAGGGUUUCGGCUCGUAAAGCUCUGUUGUUGGUGAAGAAUGACAGGGGUAGUAACUGACCUUUGUUUGACGGUAAUCAAUUAGAAAGUCACGGCUAACUACGUGC